AUCGCUUAUAUGUGAAAUCUAAAAAAAAAAAGGUCAAACUUAUAUAAACAGAAAGUAGAAAGGUGGUUGCCAGGGGCUAUGGGGUGGGGGGGGGGGAAGGGAGAAGCAGGUAAAAGGGGACAAACUUUCAACUCUAAUGUCAAGAGCUUCUGAGGAUCUAACGCCUGACGUGGUGUCUAGAGUCGAGAACACUGAAUUGUACAAUUGAAAUCAGCUAAGAGAGAAGCACUUCAAUGUUCUCACACACACAAAGUCAAUAUGUGAGGUGAAAAAAUAUUGGAGGUUAGGACAGAGGUGAAUCAGGACAUGAAUCCCUGGGAACCAGCCUAAAUUUCCAGGAGAACUUCAGACCUUCAAAGGCCAUGACAUAGGUGGGUUGAAACAAAGAAUCCAGGAGACACAAGGAACCGGGUGACAUCUGGCUUCCAGGUAGAAGGAAUAGAAAACUACCCAAGGUCUAGAAGGCCCAGGAGGGUGGAGGGAGGCAGUUGUAGGCCAGUUGGUGGGGGAGGGGCUGUGGUCCAAUCUGCUUCCCUGCUGUCCCCUCCCCCCCUCAGGAGCCCUUGUGACACGGCCACAGUUCCAUGAUGAGGGCGUGGGGUUCUAAUCUCCAAGUCACUCCCAGUGCUCAGUUGCCUGAGAGUAGAACUGUAUUUGAGAUAUGGAAACUCCUAUCUUAUAUAUAAAAAGCAUUGUUGUUACCUGGCUGAGCUCCAGUUCUGCUUCCUGGGUGAUUGGGACCAUCCUCCGCAUCCUGUAUGGACUGGGGCUCUUCCUCCUGUUCCUUCCCUCCCUCCAGAGGAAUUUGCCCUUACAACCACCUUACAAAAGGAGAAACGUCAGGAAGCAUCAAGUGGAGCCAAGAGGGAGGAGAAAGGAGCAGGAAGAAAAGGGGAGCUUUGAAAGAAUACAGAGCUGGCUGGAAGGACCUGGCAGAAUUGGGCGGUCUGAUGUCCCUUUCACAAAGCUACCUGGGGAGGCUGUCUUGUAAGGGAUGCUUCCAUCGCUUGUCAUCUCAAGACUCCGCUGGCGAAGCAUGCGAGACAGCGUCUGCUAGAGUCCACCAGCCAUGUGGGAAGCCUGUGGAAGGUGCUCCUCUCACCACGAAUCCAGCACUUUCCCUGGCUCUUCUGACCCAGCACACUCUACCUUUGGCCUCCAUUCUGCCUGCAGAACCUCCAUCUGCCUUGACCAUAACUCCACUAGGCCCUGUUGCCACGAGCUCAGCUCCAGCUCACUCCUCUUUCCCAUCUACCAACUCAGGCCAUGGCCGCACGAGCUGUCGCAUUGAGUUCCUCAGCAAAUCUAUGAAUUAUCCAUUUGUUGGUUUGAGUCAAGGGUGGAGGAAAUGUCCUGUAGAAAGUUCCAAGCAUGCCAGGUCUUCAUUUUCUUACUGGACAUGGGCUAGUUUAGGAGCAUCGUGUGAUGGAGCAUAAAGGGUGGACUUUGAGUACAACCAGGUCUGGGGCUGAACACAAGAUUAGCCAUUCGUGAACUGCCUGACCUAAGACAUGUUCUUAAUCAUUCUGAAUUUCAGUUUCUCAAUCUGGGUAAAGAGAAUAAUAAGAUUUACCAGUAGGAGUUAUAGGAUUUAGUUUCUUUUCUGGUUCUGUCAUCUACUCUGUAAUUUUGGCAAGUCAUGUGACCUCUUCAGGCCUACUUAUCUUUGAGUGAAAAUGAAGGUCUUAGUGGUUCUCCACAGGAAUAUGAUUUUCUCCCAUCCGGGGGCAUCUGGAAGUGUGUGUGUUCUUGAUUGUCAUGAAACUAAGGGAAUCAAGAACGUAAAGUGCCCUGUAAGGGGGAGGACAGUCCCAUACAACAGAGAAUUGUUCCAUCAGAAAAUCAACGUAGCCCUGUUGUGAAACCCAAUUAGAUCAUCUCUGAAGUCCUUGUCACCUUAACAUUUCAUCAUUUUACUCUAUGUCAUUGUUUCCUUACAAUUACGAAGGAUGAAGUAGAUAAUUAAAUGCUAUGAGCCACCCUGCCACACAUGAGCA
rnacentral:lncRNA from 1 species